CAACGUAGGUAACCUGCCCAUGUGUCUGGGAUAACUGCUGGAAACGGUAGCUAAAACCGGAUAGGUAUACAGAGCGCAUGCUCAGUAUAUUAAAGCGCCCUUCAAGGCGUGAACAUGGAUGGACCUGCGGCGCAUUAGCUAGUUGGUGAGGUAACGGCCCACCAAGGCGAUGAUGCGUAGCCGGCCUGAGAGGGUAAACGGCCACAUUGGGACUGAGACACGGCCCAA
rnacentral:rRNA from 1 species